ACCAGAGGUGACUGGCUGGUUGGAUAAGGUGGAGUCCCUGCUCCCCAGCACCCCUCUACUCAGUGUGCUGACCAGGGCUAGUCGGCUGUUGACCAACAGGACCUUGACAGGAAGACGAGCCUGGAACACUUAGCAGGCUAAAACUCUUUUUAAAGAAGCAGUGAAGACCAUGCCCAAUCUUUCCGCUGAGACGUUUCUUGCCCUUGGAAGCAUUGCUUGAGGUGUAAGCUGCACAGCCCUGCGACAGCUCAUCCGGGACAAGCCAUCAUUUUCCUCAAUGCGGAGUGUCCUUGCAUUCAUGAAAGAGCAGUCUGUUCCUCCAUUCCUCACUGGUACAUGAGCAAAUACUUAACUCAAUUAACUGGCUCAGAGGAAUUUGGUUAACAUUUGGCAUGGUUCCACUGUUAGGUAUAAAGAGAUGUUAUAUAAGCGUAAUUGACAACCCUCAUGCUUUUGUUUCAUCGCGGAGCUGUACUACUUUGACUUCUUCUUUGAGCUGCUGGGAGACCUUGGUGCUCAGAUCGCUCUGGCCCUGCCGUGAGUCGGUCUUACUGCCAUUAAUCAUCACUACAGAUGGUUUGAGCAUCAACAAUGCAUCACUGUCAACGUUCUGUGUGUGUGUGUGUGUGUGCAUGCUCUUGUCUGUGUGCAUUUGCAGGGUGAGCACUAUUAAGAAGUUCCCUGCUGGCAUGACGGAUACUUUCAGGAAGAUGAUUGUGCAGGACUCCCAUCACGUCCUGCUCCUACCCAGUACAAAACAGGAUAUUCUGGUGGACAAGAUGGAGCAGAGACUUGUCAGUACCCUCUCCUGUACCCCAUUACUGCCAACACAUUAAGACUGGGGUCUAACUUUGGUGUCUUCGAUUUGAAUUCUUUAUGUUGAAAAUAAUCUACAGGUAUAAUUGGAAAAUGUUCUCUCCCCCAGGGCAUGUACACAGGAGAGUUCACUGAGGAUGAGUUCUGCUCACUGGGUAUCAUGGCGACCUAUGUAGUGGAUGAGGUGUUUGUGCAGCUGGUGCGGAGCUUCUUUGUGGAGAGCCUGGAGUUCCUCAGAGUUCUGCUACAACAGCAGCAAGAGGGACAACGUCGCACAGAUCCUACAGGAGUCAGGCACCUUCGGCCCCGUUCAGAACUGGAGCCCUGAAGACACUCAAUCAAGUGGACAGAUGAUUAUUUUUCUUCCUUCCCAAAGCGACGCUGCAGCAGGUUCCCCAGUUCUGAGGCUGCAGGCUUUAACAGGACUGCUGAGCCAUAGCCUGGCUUUUGGACCCAUAAGCUCCUGGCGCCCUGAGGUCUUCAUUGAGGUUGGAGCACUGGCAGGUGCAACAUGCCUUUUGUUGUUUUGCUACCACAAAUAUGUCUAGUGCCUGAAAUUAGUUUCAAAUCCUCUUAACUUGUUACUAUCUGCAGCUGGCCUCCCAGAUAUGGCCAUGUCAUCUUUGGUGAAGGUUGAAGGACUGACACCAUUCUGGCUGUGUCCCUCAUCCGGGCAGACAAGUGUGAGGAUUCAAAAACACAUGUCAGUUUAUCUUCCGUGUUUUGGAUUGCCUCCUAUCAAAUUGUUGUUUUUCUUUGUGUCCAUGUCGUGUUUGACCCAGCCCGGAACGUUUCUCCUAUAAACAACGAUUGAUUUUGUGACGUGUGCAGCUGACAGCUAUGUCUAUUUUUUUAAUUUUUUAUCUAACUAGGCAAGUCCGUUAAGAACACAUUCUUAUUUUCAAUGAUGGCCUAGGAACAGCCUUUUUCAGGGGCAGACCGACAGAAUUUUCCUUGUCAGCUCUGGGAUUCGAUCUUGCACCACUAGGCUACCUAUCUAGCAAAUAUCACUGAAGUUAACAUUGUCUUGAUCUUAGCAGAGGGUAAUUAAAUUAGAUGCGUAUUAUGUCAGUACAUACGUUCAGAAUGUAUAUUUUGUAACUUUGAGUCUGAAUAAGAAGAGGAAUCAGGAUCGAGUGGAAGGACAGCUCAAGGUUUGAGGGAGUGUUGGAUGUAGGAUGCAAUUGUAUGCUAAUUCUAUUGUUGAUGUUGUUGAAGUCAGGAACCAAUACACGCAGUCA